ensembl:processed_transcript Gm16759 predicted gene, 16759
UUAAACUUCAGAGCCACUUGGACUGGGUUUAUAGCACAAAGCUGUCCUGUGAUCAGAGGUCAGAAGAGGGCUUCGGAUCCACUGGCGCUGAACUGAUACAGGCUUCUGAGCCUUGAUAUGGGCGCUGGGAACUGAACCUGGGUCCUCUACAAGAACAAGUGAGCUUAACUGCCAAGCCAACUCUCCAGCACACAAAACUAGUUCCCUUAACCUUUGUGUUUAUUCGUUUGUACAUGACCAUCAUAUACGUCCAGACCAGUAAAAAACUACAAUCUGUUUUAUUAAAAACAAAACUAACUUGUAAGAAACUCAACUGUACACACCCAUGUGCACACAUUACUCUCCUGGUGGGUUAAUGCUUUGUCAUUUGGUAUCUAACUUAAUAAACACGUUCUUCUUUGCUGCACUUU